rnacentral:sRNA from 1 species
AAAUAUACUGGAAUAUUUUCUGAGAAAUAGCCAGAUUACAGCAGAAGACGGUGCUGAGAUCACCUGGUAUCAUGCAGCUAACCACAAGGCACAAACAAAUGAGGCACUGAAAAGUACUGCUCACAUGAUAGAGGCUGAUGUCCUUCUUCCAAGUGAUGGAUCAGAACACAGCCAGCCAAUUAUGGCCCAUCCCCCUGAAACAAACAGUGAUAAUACUCUACAGGAGUGGCUGACUGAAGUUAUGAAAAGCAAUAAAGGCAUCAAGCUGGAUUUCAAAAGUCUGGCAGCUGUAGAACCAUCCAUGAUGCUCUUGGAAAAUGUGAAGAGGCAUCUGAAGCGUCCUGUAUGGAUUAAUGCCGAUAUUCUUCCUGGUCCAAAUGGAAAUAGCAAAGUAAUAGAUGCAAAACCAUUUUUAGACACCGUGACAUCCUUCUUUCCAGACGUGACGUUUUCCCUGGGUUGGACAACAGGAUGGCAUCCUGAGAAAGUCAAUGAAGGGUACAGUUGGACAAUGGUGAAAGAGAUGGAAUAUAUAUGUAAUGAGCUAAGUCAGCCUGUAACGUUCCCUGUCAGAGCAGCAUUACUCAGGCAGUCUUGUUCUCAGUUACUUUGGCUGUUAAAGAAAUCAAACAGGUAUGUAAUAGUUUAACAAAUGUGUAUGUGAGUGUGUAUGAGAGACAGAGAUAGAAAGGGCAUGAAAAUUGAUUUUUUAAGGACAGUGUGUGUGAGAGAAAGGUAGACAGAAAAGGAAUGAAAACUGAUGAUAUAAGCGCACAGACUCCCUCACCGGAUUGGAGCUCCUUGAUGAACCUUAACUUACUUAACAUCGUAUAUUUUACCCCUAUUCCUCACAAAAGUUUUUGUACAUAGUAGGUGCUCGGUAAGUGUUAGCUGUCUUUUUCAUUAUAUAUUCACAAAAAAUUAUGAGUGGAUAAAUUAGCUUCUUUUUAAAUUUCAUCAUAAUUUCAGAAAUCAGCCAGGUGUGGUGGCUCACACCCGUAAUCCCAGCACUUUGGGAG